rnacentral:piRNA from 1 species
CUCCAUCAGGAAUCUAGGAGUCCACCCUGA